CGUGUAGGCGGUUUGCCAAGUCAGAUGUGAAAGCCCCGGGCUUAACCUGGGAACUGCAUUUGAUACUGGCAGGCUAGAGGUUGGAAGAGGAGAGUGGAAUUCCCAGUGUAGAGGUGAAAUUCGUAGAUAUUGGGAAGAACACCAGUGGCGAAGGCGGCUCUCUGGUCCACACCUGACGCUGAGGCGCGAAAGCGUGGGGAGCAAACA
rnacentral:rRNA from 1 species